rnacentral:rRNA from 1 species
AACCAGCACCUCAAGUGGUCAGGAUGAUUAUUGGGCCUAAAGCAUCCGUAGCUCGUUUUGUAAGUUUUCGGUUAAAUCCAUACGCUUAACGUAUGGGCUGCCGGGAAUACUGCAUAACUAGGGAGGUGGGGAGGUAGACGGUACUCGGUAGGAAGGGGUAAAAGUACCUUUCGUAUCUAUUGAUGACCACCUGUGGCGAAGGCGGUCUACCAGAACACGUUCGACGGUGA